rnacentral:lncRNA from 1 species
CUGGUCACCUGUACUAACCCUUCCUGGUCACCUGUACUACCGUUCCUCACACCUGAUACCCUCCUGGAACCUGUCUAACCCUUCCUGGUCACCUGUACUAACCCAACUGUAUGAGUUAGCUGUCCUUUAGGAGCGUCACUGUGUGUUGUGUUAGCUGUCCUUUAGGAGCUCACGGUGUGUGUAUUGUGUUAGCUGUCCUUUACGAAGCUCACUGUGUUUGUAUUGUGUUAGCUGUCCUUUACGAGCUCACUGUGUUUGUAUUGUGUUAGCUGUCCUUUACGAGCUCACUGUGUUUGUGUUAGCUGUCCUUUACGAGCUCACUGUGUGUGUGUCCUUUAGGAGCUCACUG